UACGGAGGAUGCAAGCGUUAUCCGGAAUGAUUGGGCGUAAAGCGUCCGCAGGUGGCAAUGUAAGUCUGCUGUCAAAGCGUCUGGCUCAACCAGAUAAAGGCAGUGGAAACUACAUAGCUAGAGUAAGGUAGGGGUAGAGGGAAUUCCUGGUGUAGCGGUGAAAUGCGUAGAGAUCGGGAGGAACACCGGCGGCGAAGGCGGCGUCCUGGACCUGGCCUGACGCUCAGGAGCGAAAGCGUGGGGAGCGAUCCGG
rnacentral:rRNA from 1 species